ensembl:lncRNA
AUGCUUUUCUCUGCAUCUGUUUUCUACAGCAGGCAGGCGUCGAGGAGCAUGGCAGAGCUGAAUUCAUUCCCUGCUGAAGCUGGACAAAAGCCCCAGCAGACCACGUAUCCUGUGCCAUGUCUCGACUGGGGCAUUCAACUCCUUGUGAGCGGCUCCCUGUGGUCUCUGGGACCCAACAGCCAGCAAGGAAAGGAACAGGACACUUGGCUGAGCUGUAGGGGCAUGAGACUGGAGUCUCUGCUACAACACAGAUGUCUUGCUCACUUCUCUAGACUGCAAAUCCCUGUCUGCGGGAUGACAUUACGCUGUGCUGGAGGAAAGGGGCUUAUUCCGGAGCAGGAAUAAACAGCCACGUGGUGUGGUCCAGGCUGGAGUAAAUGGAUCCCCACACUGGUAAAGACAAUGCACGGGGGGGGGAAGGAGGGCGUGAAUGGGAUUUGCACUUCUAAGAGGCUUAGAGCAGCUUUGGAAAAGCCUGUCUGGUGUGUGAGCACUGCUUCCUUCAGAGCAGGGCAUGGCAGUUGCCCCACCAAGUAGGGCACUGUGCUCUCUUGCAGGCACACACUCUGUGUGCUAGGACCUCGUCUUUGCAUGGCUCCUGCCGAUGGGAUGUGCCUGGGGGGACUGAAGGGAUGGGGAAGGAUCCUGCACCUUUCUGAAGUGCAGCCACUUGAAAGUCCACUUGCAGUUGCACUUGAUCUUUGUUAGAUCCCUUCCAGCUGAACUGUCCUAUCCUAUUUCCUAUCCUAUUUUCGCACUGUCUUCUGAGAGACCGAGAGAGCAUGGGUGAGCUCUGCAGCAGCCGCAGAAGCAAGACAAGACAAGGGCAAUCCCAGUAACUGCAUGCAGACGCCUCGAAGGAGACACAGCACAAGCCGUGCUUCUCAAAGUGGCCGAGAGCACGGCAAAUCAGAUCGCCCAGGCCACACAUUCAAAAUGUAAUCACGGAAAACACCCAGCCCUUGGGAAGGAAUGCUCUGGGUGAAAUUCUGCAGAGUUUGGUGCACUCAGACAGCAAAUGAGAUAACACACCUGAGCAGCAAAGAGCCAGCAGUUUUGUGGAUAGUGGAUGGCGACGUGAAGGCUAAUGUCAAAUUAGUUUGAAUGUCCAGUGAAGCAUGCCUCUAAUCAGCAAAGGUGAUUGCAUCUAUGCCUUAAAAUAAGCAAUUGCCCCUGAACGACCCAAAUUUGCUGCUGAGCAGCGGCUGGCGCAGCAGACGCUGCGGCAGGAGGAAGGCUGCUCGCCGCUGAGGGGACGCGGAGAGUCUGACAGCUCUGACAGCUGUCUCUUGAGACCGUUUCACAAAACCUUGGGAUUAAUGGAAAUGCCACUCAAGCAAGAUGCGGUGAUUAGGGACGUGAAAUAUGGAGCUGAAUUCCUUUUUUUCAUGACUGAGUGAAGGCAAGCAGGUGGCUCACACCUGGUAAGGUCACCUGAAAGCAGAUCGUGACAUUUAUCAGGUCUGGAAGUGACAUCCCAUCCUCUCCUGUCCAAGGAGGGUCAGAGCUCCUUUUUGGGGCUGGCAAAUCCCCCAGGAGGUGCUGGACUCACCGGCUGAGCUCCUAGAGGGUGGCUGGUGACCCUGAGGAGCAAAACCCAGCUGCUGAAAGGAGUUGAGCUGGCAGCUGGGAGGGAGAAAACUUCUCAGCUUUGAAACCUGGUCAGUCUCUGACUGUCCUGGUCUUAUCACACAGUUGUCACAAGUUUUCUUGCUCUGUCCUCUGAAAUGCCUGGUGGAGGAACAAGGAGUGAGCCAUCCUGCAGAAGAUCAGGGAUUCUGUCCUGGCUGGGUGGAAGGUUGCGAUCUGACAUAGAAAGCCUUUGGCCAAAAUAUGUGCAGCUCCCAACAUGUCUGGGCUGCGACCUCGGGCUGCUGGGCUUUUCAGCAUUCUGAAUAGAAGCAGACAAAAGUGCUUGGAUUGGCCCCAAAACCUAAUCUCCACUGUUGGGUUUGCUGGGAGAGAGGGAGGGCGUAACAGGCUUUAAAGUGCAUAUAUUUAUGCAUACACACACAGGGUUUUUAGUACAUAAUGCACACCAAUAUAUAUAAUCUAGA